CCAAAAAAGGCAAUGUAAUGUUUUUUUUUUUUUUUCUACAAUCAAUCAUGCUCUUUUAUUUUGUGACUCAAAACUGUUAUUUUGCAUUUAAUUUUUGUUCUUUCUUUUUAAGAACACUUUUAUGAUGCAGCAAGCAGCACUGGAUACAUUUCAUGGCGUCUUAAAACGGUCCUAAGGAAGAUUCAAAGAGGAUCUCUUGUGCCAUCAAGUAGCACCAAUUCCAUUUCAUCUGGAGACCCAAAUAUACAGAGAACUGUGAUUGUUGAAAAACAGCUUGAUGGGAAUGCCUGCCAGGAGGCCAUAUCUCUGCUUAAUGACACCACAGACAGGUCCGUGAUCUUUCAGAAGAUGAGAGAGACUUUUGAGCACCGUCACAAGCUUAUUAAAGAUGCCAGUGGAAGAAAUGAUAUCCUGACCACAUUCCCGGGGUUCCUGGACACAAAAGGAUUGAUUGAUCAAGACUUCCGUCUCCUAUUCAGUGAAGAAACCUCAUCCAGACUGCUGCAGAAGUGGGAUGUGUUCUUCAAACCAAAUGUCACCAAGGAGGCUAAGCGUUUCACUUCUCCACCUGAGUUGAGAAGUUUGGUGCAGUCAGCGGAAAGUCUUCAAAGCGAUGACCUCACUAACACAUCUAGCUUUGACCAAGAAAUGGCCUCACUGUUACUUCUCUUACAUCUUCUCUUGGAGCAUUUGAUGAGCUAUUCAAAGCACAUUUUGUGUUUAAUUUCUCUUAUGAUGCUGCAUUGAUGAAUUUCUACACAUUCCUGCAGACAUCAGUGUAUAACAUUGACGUGGGCAAAAUGAAGGAAUCGCCCAGAGUUCGGGACGUGAGAGCAAGGCUGCUAAACCAGUCCGUUUUGCUCUCUUGUAAGUCAGGCUGAAAAAUGUUGACCUGGUUUUAUGUGUCAAAAACUGUAUCCAAGCGGAAACAUUUGAUCAUCAUCAUGCUUUCAAAAUUGUUCAAAGUGAAGAAAGGCAUUUAGUAAAAAUCCCUGAACUUAAAUUUCUUUUGAUAUUCAAAACUCUUAUGGCAUUUCUGAUGAAUGUUUGAUCAUUGUACCACAAUUUAAAAUGUUGGGA